rnacentral:rRNA from 1 species
AAAUUGAAGAGUUUGAUCAUGGCUCAGAUUGAACGCUGGCGGCAGGCCUAACACAUGCAAGUCGAACGGUAACAGGAAGCAGCUUGCUGCUUCGCUGACGAGUGGCGGACGGGUGAGUAAUGUCUGGGAAACUGCCUGAUGGAGGGGGAUAACUACUGGAAACGGUGGCUAAUACCGCAUAACGUCGCAAGACCAAAGAGGGGGACCUUCGGGCCUCUUGCCAUCAGAUGUGCCCAGAUGGGAUUAGCUUGUUGGUGAGGUAACGGCUCACCAAGGCGACGAUCCCUAGCUGGUCUGAGAGGAUGACCAGCCACACUGGAACUGAGACACGGUCCAGACUCCUACGGGAGGCAGCAGUGG